GACGAACGCUGGCGGCGCGCCUAACACAUGCAAGUCGAACGGAGCUGAGAGGAGCUUGCUUUUCUUAGCUUAGUGGCGAACGGGUGAGUAACGCGUGAGUAACCUGCCCUGGAGUGGGGGACAACAGUUGGAAACGACUGCUAAUACCGCAUAAGCCCACGGUCUCGCAUGGGACUGAGGGAAAAGGAUUUAUUCGCUUCAGGAUGGACUCGCGUCCAAUUAGCUAGUUGGUGAGGUAACGGCCCACCAAGGCGACGAUUGGUAGCCGGACUGAGAGGUUGAACGGCCACAUUGGGACUGAGACACGGCCCAGACUCCUACGGGAGGCAGCAGUGGGGGAUAUUGCACAAUGGGGGAAACCCUGAUUCAGCGACGCCGCGUGGAGGAAGAAGGUUUUCGGAUUGUAAACUCCUGUCGUUAGGGACGAUAAUGACGGUACCUAACAAGAAAGCACCGGCUAACUACGUGCCAGCAGCCGCAGUAA
rnacentral:rRNA from 1 species